UUCCUCGUUUUAUAAAACUGGGCGUUGCGACCGGAAACGACGCAACGGAUUCGCUCAAAGUCGGGGAACGCUAGACGUACUUUCGUCUUGCCAAUCCCGAGCCAAGCCCCGCAAGGGGAAGGUGUAGAGACUGGACGGGCGACACCUAAGGACUUUGGUCUAUGGUGAAGGGACAGUCCAGACCACGAACGCCGAAAGGCGGCG
rnacentral:autocatalytically_spliced_intron from 1 species